rnacentral:rRNA from 1 species
AGGAAUAUUGGUCAAUGGGCGCAGGCCUGAACCAGCCAAGUAGCGUGAAGGAUGACUGCCCUAUGGGUUGUAAACUUCUUUUAUAAAGGAAUAAAGUCGGGUAUGUAUACCCGUUUGCAUGUACUUUAUGAAUAAGGAUCGGCUAACUCCGUGCCAGCAGCCGCGGUAAUACGGAGGAUCCGAGCGUUAUCCGGAUUUAUUGGGUUUAAAGGGAGCGUAGAUGGAUGUUUAAGUCAGUUGUGAAAGUUUGCGGCUCAACCGUAAAAUUGCAGUUGAUACUGGAUAUCUUGAGUGCAGUUGAGGCAGGCGGAAUUCGUGGUGUAGCGGUGAAAUGCUUAGAUAUCACGAAGAACUCCGAUUGCGAAGGCAGCCUGCUAAGCUGCAACUGACAUUGAGGCUCGAAAGUGUGGGUAUCAAACAGGAUUAGAUACCCUGGUAGUCCACACGGUAAACGAUGAAUACUCGCUGUUUGCGAUAUACUGCAAGCGGCCAAGCGAAAGCGUUAAGUAUUCCACCUGGGGAGUACGCCGGCAACGGUGAAACUCAAAGGAAUUGACGGGGGCCCGCACAAGCGGAGGAACAUGUGGUUUAAUCCGAUGAUACGCGAGGAACCUUACCCGGGCUUAAAUUGCAGAUGAAUUACGGUGAAAGCCGUAAGCCGCAAGGCAUCUGUGAAGGUGCUGCAUGGUUGUCGUCAGCUCGUGCCGUGAGGUGUCGGCUUAAGUGCCAUAACGAGCGCAACCCUUGUUGUCAGUUACUAACAGGUUCCGCUGAGGACUCUGACAAGACUGCCAUCGUAAGAUGUGAGGAAGGUGGGGAUGACGUCAAAUCAGCACGGCCCUUACGUCCGGGGCUACACACGUGUUACAAUGGGGGGUACAGAGGGCCGCUACCACGCGAGUGGAUGCCAAUCCCCAAAACCUCUCUCAGUUCGGACUGGAGCCUGCAACCCGACUCCACGAAGCUGGAUUCGCUAGUAAUCGCGCAUCAGCCACGGCGCGGUGAAUACGUUCCCG